rnacentral:tRNA from 1 species
GCCUAGUUAGCUUGGUUGGUAGCGCGUCUGCCUUGUAAGCGCUAGGGCGCGGGUUCGAUUCCCGCCCGGGCG